UUAAUAGAAGCUAAAAAGAAGCUAAUCUUUGUUAAAGAUUAAAUUGAUAAUAUAAUCCUAUUAAA
rnacentral:tRNA from 1 species